UGGGCUUCACGAGAGAUGAUUUCCGUUGUAUGUUAUUUGACAGGCAGUGACGAUUGACGGGACACCAUCAGCUCAGGGGUCGUUGAUGGACCAUCCCUAUGAAGAAACAGGGUUACAAUGGGACAGAGUACCUCGGAACAAGAGGUCGAGGACGGGUUUGAUAACAUCAAGACAUUUGUGGAGGAGGAACUGCAGACGAGCAUGAUGGUGGGGAUGGUGAUUGGCGCGGGCAUCGCCAUAGUUCUCAUCGCCAUCCUCAUCUUCUUCAUCUUGCGGAGGAUCCAGCUUCGAAACCUAGAAGCUCAGGAGGCGCCCAAGUACCGCUUCCGCAAGAGGGACAAAGUCAUGUUCUACGGGCGAAAGAUCAUGCGUAAAGUCUCGCAGUCUACCUCUUCCCUGGUGGGUACAUCCUCUUCCUCUCGGCCACGCCUCAAGAAGAAGCAGAAGAUGCUCAACAUUGCCAAAAAGAUUCUGCGCUUUAAGAAGGAGGUGCCCACCCUUCAGGCUAAGGAGCCCCCUCCCUCAGUGCUGGAGGCAGACCUCACCGAAUUUGAUGUGGCCAACUCCCACCUCCCCUCUGAGGUGCUCUACAUGCUCAAAAAUGUCCGUGUGCUGGGUCACUUUGAGAAGCCCCUCUUCCUGGAGCUGUGCAAACACAUGGUGUUUCUACAGUUCCAACAAGGGGAGUACGUCUUCAGGCCAGGCCAGCCUGACAGCAGCAUCUACGUGGUUCAGGAUGGAAAACUAGAAUUGUGCCUUACUGGAACGGAUGGCAAAGAAAGUGUGGUGAAGGAGGUUUACCCAGGAGACAGCGUCCACAGCCUCCUGAGCAUCCUGGAUGUCAUCACAGGCCACCAGAAGCCUUACAAAACGGUGUCGGCACGGGCUGCAGAGGUUUCCACGGUUCUCCGUUUACCUGUAGAGGCCUUCCUCUCUAUAUUUGAGAAGUACCCUGAGAGCCUGGUGCGAGUGGUACAGAUUAUCAUGGUUCGUCUCCAAAGAGUAACAGUCCUAGCCCUGCACAACUAUCUGGGACUCACCAAUGAACUCUUCAGCCAUGAAAUGCAGCCCUCGCGUCUGCCACCUCCGUCACCCCACCCAACUCGCACCAGUCCCAUCCGCCAUGGCAAGCGCUUCGGCAGCCUGACAGUGCCUGAGGAGCAUCGGGAAGCUGCCAUUAAGGGUGAAGCUGCAGGAGGAGAACAAGGGAAGGAUGGAGCGACAGUGCCAACUCUUAGCAGGACCAUUUCCAUGCCUGUGGACAUUGCUGGUAUUCAGAAAGGUCUGCGGUCAGACUUUGACAUGGCGUACGAAAGGGGACGGAUCUCUGUCUCUGCAGAGGAUGGCAACACUCCUCCCACUUUUGCUCGGUCUGUGUCCCAGGACCAGCGGGAGAGGAGGGUGACAGUAGAUGAGGUUCCCUCAGGGAUCUACCUGUAUCCAGAAGAAGAGUCGGGAGUGGACAAUAUUUUCACACCUGUGUCCUGUCGAUCUACUGCUGCUCUAUUUGAGGAAGCUCAGAAAGAGAUUCUCAAACUUAUGAGGAUUGAGGACCCAUCUUUGUUAAAUGGGAGAGUGACUCUGCACCAUGCAAAAGCUGGAGCUGUGUUAGCCAGACAGGGAGACCAGGACAUGAGUCUGCACUUUGUCCUAUCUGGUUGUCUGCACGUCUACCAGCGGAUGAUCAACAAGCAGGAAGCCGUCUGCUUGUUUGUGACUCACCCAGGAGAGAUGGUGGGCCAACUCGCUGUGCUCACCGGAGAACCCCUCAUCUUCACCAUCAAGGCCGUCCGAGACUGUGCUUACCUCAAGAUCUCAAAGUCGGAUUUCUACGAGAUCAUGAGGGAGCAGCCCAGCGUGGUGCUGAGUGCAGCCCACACAGUGGCCAUCCGCAUGUCAGCUUUUGUCAGGCAGAUGGACUUUGCUAUUGACUGGAUGGCAGUGGAGGCUGGCAGAGCCCUCUACAGACAGGACGACCAGUCAGACUGCACCUACAUCGUUCUGAAUGGACGUCUGCGUUCAGUCAUCCGCAAGGCAAAUGGCAAGAAAGAACUAGUAGGGGAAUAUGGCAGAGGAGACCUCAUUGGAGUGGUGGAGGCUUUGACCAGACAGCCAAGAGCCACCACUGUCCAUGCUGUGAGGGACACAGAGCUGGUCAAACUGCCCGAGGGAACACUCAACAACAUCAAAAGACGAUACCCACAGGUGGUGACCAGGCUGAUCCAUUUGUUAGGCCAGAAGAUUCUGGGCAACCUGCAGCAGGGUCGUGGGCCAUUCUCAGGCUCAGCCCUGAGUCUGCCCAGCAUGACAACUAGUGCAGAUGUAACCAACCCUGCUAGCAACCUCUCCACUGUGGCCGUGCUGCCUGUAUGUGAUGAGGUGCCGAUUAACGCGUUCAACCUGGAGCUCAGCCAUGCCCUCAGUGCCAUUGGGCCCACUCUGCUGUUAACCAGUGACAUAAUCAGAGAGCGUCUGGGUGCUUCUGCUUUGGACAGUAUCCAUGAGUACCGUCUGUCUGGCUGGCUGGCCCAGCAGGAGGACAUCAAUCGGAUUGUGCUGUACCAAACCGACAACAGCAUGACCCCAUGGACUCAGCGCUGCAUCCGCCAGGCUGACUGCAUCCUCAUUGUUGGCCUGGGGGACCAGGAACCUACCCUGGGAGAGUUGGAGCAGAUGCUGGAGAACACAGCAGUCCGGGCUCUGAAGCAGCUGGUCCUUCUGCACAGAGAGGAUGGACCAGGCCCCUCCAGGACAGUUGAGUGGCUCAACAUGCGUAGCUGGUGCUCCGGCCAUCUGCACCUCAAGUGUCCUCGCAGGGUUUUCUCCAGACGCGGCCCCAGCAAACUGAGGGAGGUAUAUGAGAAGGUGUUUGAGAAGACGGCCGACAGGCACAGUGAUUUCUCUCGGCUGGCCCGAGUCCUGACUGGAAACAGCAUCGCCCUGGUGCUGGGAGGAGGUGGAGCUAGGGGCUGCUCUCAUGUGGGUGUGAUCAAAGCUAUGGAGGAAGCGGGGAUUCCUAUUGACAUAGUGGGUGGGACCUCGAUUGGCUCAUUCAUUGGUGCGUUGUACGCUGAGGAGAGGAGUGCUGUCAGAACCAAACAGAGAGCUAGAGAGUGGUCCAAGGCAAUGAACUCAGUUUUUAAAACCGUCCUGGACCUGACCUAUCCCAUCACCUCCAUGUUCUCUGGCUCUGCCUUCAACACCAGCAUCUAUAAAGUGUUCCAGGACAAGCAAGCUGAGGACCUGUGGCUGCCAUACUUCAACGUCACCACUGACAUCACAGCCUCAGCCAUGCGUGUUCAUCAGGAUGGUUGCGUCUGGCGCUAUGUUAGAGCCAGCGCCUCCUACACCCCCUAUUUACCUCCCCUGUGCGACCCCAAGGAUGGCCACUUGCUUGUGGAUGGUUGCUAUGUUAACAAUGUCCCAGGUCAGAUUUUAAACACCCGCUCACCAGAACCUCCUCCCCCAUCCCUAAGUCGACAGUCAACCUCUUGGCUACCCUCCUCCUCUUUCUUGUCCUCUGCCUCCCAAGUUCUCACUCAUAACUAACCCCACCCUGACCAGGUGGACAUUGGGACCUCAUGGUUUGGAAGGAAAAACUAAUUUCAAUAUAUAUUUUCAGGCUGAUCCAAGCAAUACCUCAUAUAUUAUUAGAUAAUGACCAAUAGCACAUCUUAUUCUCUCUCCGAUUGGCUUUGUUAUUCACAUGCACAACGUAUUUUCUCCAGCUGGCUGAGCGCCACCAUCACUGCUGACCCUCAUUUUCUUACUGGAUGUGAGGUUUUGCCAAUGCAUGUCUGCACAUCUGUGGGUCAUAUGGAGUUGCAUGAUGGUCCAGCUUUUUAAGACGCUCUGUGUUUGCCAAAAAAAAAACUUCCCUUCUCCUUUAUAUCAAUAAAGUUUUAGAUAUGGCUUGUAAUCACCGAUGUCAUCACGCACCACUUGUACUUGCUUACUGUGAUAAGUCUUUACAUCUCUCAGCUUGGCUGGUCAGAUUCAACUGGUUUGGAUGUAGCUGGACUUUCAGUGUGAGAUCAGGUGCAGACAGUACUGUAUGUUUUGGGCGAUAGUUCUGCCUUGCUGGAGAUAGGGAAGAGCUGCACCAUGUCAGCAUCACAUCUGUCUAUUGCUGUUGUUGUUGUUGUGGAUCGUUGCGCGUUUUGGUGGGCCUAAUUGUCUCUCCCCUUUGGCCUGAACCGCAGCUUGUUUCCCAUGAGGAUGUCCUUGUGAAAUUGCUUCUGUUUCAUUUCAAUCAUCUUCUGCCAACAGGAACAUUGUUCAGUCUCUCCUACACAGCCCCUGUCCUCUUCCCUGGCUUUGCUUGCUUUUAUAUGCAUGCCAGUGUUAAAUACAGUGAGCCCAUAUAUAUAUUUCUCAUAAAUAUAUAUUGAUGGCAUAUAUUACCUUUCAUUUAUUUUUUUAAAAAUAAGUUAUUUGUUGGUAUGUGUUCUGGAUCCUGCUGUUGCCCGUUUUAGCCACUUAUACAAACUGAAUGAAGCCCUUAAGUUACAUAAAUCUAGAGUAAAUACUGUGUAUUACAGUUAGAUAAUUCUAGCUCAGUAUUUUACGUAUACUCCAUGCACAGUUGCACCCCUUGCUUUUCUCUGCGGUGCUCCUUAUCCUUCCAACCCAUGCAGCACCCGGCCUGCUCCUGUCCCCUGCUGGCACUGAGCUGUACUGCAGAUCUGAGCAGGCUUGGUGCUUCCCUGCCGUGUUCACGGUGACGUAUCUCCAAACAUUGUCACAACACCUGCUGCUGCUCCUUCUCUUGACGUGUUGACAUUGUAUUCUACCACUGAAGCUCUAUUUAUAAUAAUUAGUCCCAGCUUCAACCUACAGUAUCUGUGGAUUUUGCAAAAACUUAAGAGAUUAUGUGCUUCACAGAGCAGGUGUUGGGACAUAGUUUGGAGAUUCAAACAGCCUUGGUGCUCUGUGAUGGUUGCCAUUUACUUUUUUACCUUCUGCACAAGUCACACAGGGUCUCUGUGCGAGGUAAUGAGGUUUGCAGUGGUGUACAACAGAGUCUAAAGGUGAGCAGAACCACAGUCCUAGCCUUUGCAGGGACCAGCUACCUUCCUUUAGCCAGCCUCCCUCCAGUGUUGGGAUUGUGGUCUGUCAACACUAACUUGAAACGUUUAGCAAACAAUAUUGAGCUGUUAUCCCCCCCUCCUUCCUCCUCCCUCCUCCCUCCUUCCCUCCCUGGUGUGCCAGGCUCUCUGUGGCGCUAUGUGCGGGCGAGCAUGACCCUCUCAGGGUACCUGCCGCCUCUCUGCGACCCCAAAGAUGGCAACUUGCUAAUGGACGGUGGCUACAUCAACAACCUGCCAGGCAAGUAGAGGUGGUACCUCUCACCCCCCUCCACCAAUAUACUGUACAAUCCUUAAUGUCCACCCAACUCCUGUCUGCUGGAGGAGGGGGGAAGCUGGAGUGAGGGAUGCGGAUGAUUUUUAGGAGGGGUUUUAAUCAAGAUUACACAAUACUAGUGGAGGGAAGUCUGCUGUUGGUGCUGAGUUUUCCCCAUCUGAAUACUGAGCUGGUUCAGACCAUUAAUUAGUUCAUCUGGUGAGACAAAAUUCAAUCAAUUAACCAAACUGAAGAUAUAAUGGUAAAAACAGUGAGCUCAGUGAAACCCUGAAAUACUCUGAUCUACUAGAUGGGGAAAAAAUCAGCACUCUGAAUACAGACAAUGUUUCACUGAUGAAGGUAUAUACAAAUAUUAAAGAUUAAAAGAAGAAAUACAAUUUUGAGUCAGGGGAAUGUGGUAUUUGUCUGUCAAACAGCCUGGUGUCAGGUGUAGAAUAAAAAUUGGGGUGGGGUGCUUCAAAGAAUUGAAGCCAAUGUGUAAUUCCUAAAUUAUUUUUGAGACACAGGACACCAGUCUGCUUUGAGAUUAAAGUCUGGUUCUCCUCAUGUUGAAAUAAGCACUUUUGUGUAGGGCUGGGUGAUAACUCGAUAUGAUCGUUUAUCGCAGUUGUAGUUUAAUUCUUAACUACAUUAGAUAUUGAAGUUUUGGUUUACACUGGUAGACAUGUUUUUGUCCUGUGUAAACUUCAGUUUGAUUUCUUUGAGUUUGCAUACAUUUUCCAUAUUUUUAUAUAUAUUUGUCAAUAUUAUCUAAAAUCCUAAACAAUAUUGUGACAGUGAUUUCAGCCUUAUCACCCAGCCCUACAUUUCUGUUUGUUAUGCUGAAGUUUGUUUUGAAAUUCUGUAUUUACCUCCAUUUCAACCAGAGGAAAAAUGAGUGGAGUCUGUUUAGAAAGAGGACAGGGGAGCUGUUUGUUUUUUUUUUUUGUCUGUGGACUAUUAAAUAUGCCUUCAUUACCUGUAAGUAUUUAAAAUCGCACAAGUCCAAAUUUACACAUUUCUACGCCAUGUAUGCGAAGUAAGACUUAGUUGAUAUGAGCUAUUUUGGCUUUCAUGAUGGUGUGCAGACAAAAACUCCCCUGUGUGUCUGUCUGUGUGUAGUUAUGACAAAGAGUGUACUCUGUACUGAUGAAACGCAGCCAUAUUUCACAAAGCUCUGGACUGAGUUAUUGUAAUUCUCUGUUUGGUCUGGGAAUCAUGUCUCAUUAUGUCCCGAGGGAUCCGCGUUUCAGAAGUUUGUGAAAUAUGUUGCUCUCUGGGCCCAAAGACCGAUCCAAGUAAAGGAAGCCUUGUAAAAUCAGCAUCCUUCAUUUCUAAAGUUUAUUACUCUGCCUUCUCCUCGAAGGGUUUGUGCUCAAUCAGCUGCAUUUAUAGUUGUUCUUGGCUCACUGGAUCAGUGCUUUGGGCUUGUGGGAUGUCUUCCUGUUUCUGUCUUUGAAUAGGCUCAACACCACAAAAAUGCUCACUCCCCCAAAGCUCUUUUUAACACUAACAAGUCGGUGAGAAAGCUUAUGACCUCAGACCCUGUGCUUGUUGGCCAGGAAAGUAUACAUUUUUUUUUUGAGAUUGCAGUACUCUCUGUCACUAAUUUGCCAUAAAUGCUCUGGAGUGCAUCUGACAAGUUAGAAAAAGUUUUGUGGUGUAAGUCUGUUUGAACAUUGUGUCUCCUUAAAUGAAGGGUUUAAAGAAGCUGAGUUUAUCCCGAAACAAGGAUUCAUUGUCUUACCAUCUCUGCUGCUGGAUUUUGUCGUGCUGUGUUUGUAUGUCUGCGCGCGUGUGUGCACGUGUGUGAAUGCUGGUGUAUGCGUUACGCGUCCAACAGCGGACAUU